rnacentral:rRNA from 1 species
GGUUAAGCGACUAAGCGUACACGGUGGAUGCCCUGGCAGUCAGAGGCGAUGAAGGACGUGCUAAUCUGCGAAAAGCGUCGGUAAGGUGAUAUGAACCGUUAUAACCGGCGAUGUCCGAAUGGGGAAACCCAGUGUGAUUCGUCACACUAUCGUUAACUGAAUACAUAGGUUAACGAGGCGAACCGGGGGAACUGAAACAUCUAAGUACCCCGAGGAAAAGAAAUCAACCGAGAUUCCCCCAGUAGCGGCGAGCGAACGGGGAGCAGCCCAGAGUCUGAAUCAGCUUGUGUGUUAGUGGAACGGUCUGGAAAGUCCGACGGUACAGGGUGAUAGUCCCGUACACCAAAAUGCACAGGUUGUGAACUCGAAGAGUAGGGCGGGACACGUGGUAUCCUGUCUGAAUAUGGGGGGACCAUCCUCCAAGGCUAAAUACUCCUGACUGACCGAUAGUGAACCAGUACCGUGAGGGAAAGGCGAAAAGAACCCCGGCGAGGGGAGUGAAAAAGAACCUGAAACCGUGUACGUACAAGCAGUGGGAGCACCUUCGGGUGUGACUGCGUACCUUUUGUAUAAUGGGUCAGCGACUUAUAUUCUGUAGCAAGGUUAACCGUAUAGGGGAGCCGCAGGGAAACCGAGUCUUAACUGGGCGUUAAGUUGCAGGGUAUAGACCCGAAACCCGGUGAUCUAGCCAUGGGCAGGUUGAAGGUUGGGUAACACUAACUGGAGGACCGAACCGACUAAUGUUGAAAAAUUAGCGGAUGACUUGUGGCUGGGGGUGAAAGGCCAAUCAAACCGGGAGAUAGCUGGUUCUCCCCGAAAGCUAUUUAGGUAGCGCCUCGUGAACUCAUCUUCGGGGGUAGAGCACUGUUUCGGCUAGGGGGUCAUCCCGACUUACCAACCCGAUGCAAACUACGAAUACCGAAGAAUGUUAUCACGGGAGACACACGGCGGGUGCUAACGUCCGUCGUGAAGAGGGAAACAACCCAGACCGCCAGCUAAGGUCCCAAAGUCAUGGUUAAGUGGGAAACGAUGUGGGAAGGCACAGACAGCCAGGAUGUUGGCUUAGAAGCAGCCAUCAUUUAAAGAAAGCGUAAUAGCUCACUGGUCGAGUCGGCCUGCGCGGAAGAUGUAACGGGGCUAAACCAUGCACCGAAGCUGCGGCAGCGACACUAUGUGUUGUUGGGUAGGGGAGCGUUCUGUAAGCCUGCGAAGGUGACCUGUGAGGGUUGCUGGAGGUAUCAGAAGUGCGAAUGCUGACAUAAGUAACGAUAAAGCGGGUGAAAAGCCCGCUCGCCGGAAGACCAAGGGUUCCUGUCCAACGUUAAUCGGGGCAGGGUGAGUCGACCCCUAAGGCGAGGCCGAAAGGCGUAGUCGAUGGGAAACAGGUUAAUAUUCCUGUACUUGGUGUUACUGCGAAGGGGGGACGGAGAAGGCUAUGUUAGCCGGGCGACGGUUGUCCCGGUUUAAGCAUGUAGGCUGAUUAUCCAGGCAAAUCCGGAUAAUCAAGGCUGAGGUGUGAUGACGAGGCACUACGGUGCUGAAGUAACAAAUGCCCUGCUUCCAGGAAAAGCCUCUAAGCAUCAGGUAACAUUAAAUCGUACCCCAAACCGACACAGGUGGUCAGGUAGAGAAUACCAAGGCGCUUGAGAGAACUCGGGUGAAGGAACUAGGCAAAAUGGUGCCGUAACUUCGGGAGAAGGCACGCUGGUGUGUAGGUGAAGUCCCUGCGGAUGGAGCUGAGACCAGUCGAAGAUACCAGCUGGCUGCAACUGUUUAUUAAAAACACAGCACUGUGCAAACACGAAAGUGGACGUAUACGGUGUGACGCCUGCCCGGUGCCGGAAGGUUAAUUGAUGGGGUUAUCCGUAAGGAGAAGCUCUUGAUCGAAGCCCCGGUAAACGGCGGCCGUAACUAUAACGGUCCUAAGGUAGCGAAAUUCCUUGUCGGGUAAGUUCCGACCUGCACGAAUGGCGUAAUGAUGGCCAGGCUGUCUCCACCCGAGACUCAGUGAAAUUGAACUCGCUGUGAAGAUGCAGUGUACCCGCGGCAAGACGGAAAGACCCCGUGAACCUUUACUAUAGCUUGACACUGAACAUUGAGCCUUGAUGUGUAGGAUAGGUGGGAGGCUUUGAAGCGUGGACGCCAGUCUGCGUGGAGCCAACCUUGAAAUACCACCCUUUAAUGUUUGAUGUUCUAACGUUGGCCCCUGACCGGGGUUGCGGACAGUGUCUGGUGGGUAGUUUGACUGGGGCGGUCUCCUCCCAAAGCGUAACGGAGGAGCACGAAGGUUAGCUAAUCCUGGUCGGACAUCAGGAGGUUAGUGCAAUGGCAUAAGCUAGCUUGACUGCGAGCGUGACGGCGCGAGCAGGUGCGAAAGCAGGUCAUAGUGAUCCGGUGGUUCUGAAUGGAAGGGCCAUCGCUCAACGGAUAAAAGGUACUCCGGGGAUAACAGGCUGAUACCGCCCAAGAGUUCAUAUCGACGGCGGUGUUUGGCACCUCGAUGUCGGCUCAUCACAUCCUGGGGCUGAAGUAGGUCCCAAGGGUAUGGCUGUUCGCCAUUUAAAGUGGUACGCGAGCUGGGUUUAGAACGUCGUGAGACAGUUCGGUCCCUAUCUGCCGUGGACGCUGGAGAAUUGAGGGGGGCUGCUCCUAGUACGAGAGGACCGGAGUGGACGCAUCACUGGUGUUCGGGUUGUCAUGCCAAUGGCACUGCCCGGUAGCUAAAUGCGGAAGAGAUAAGUGCUGAAAGCAUCUAAGCACGAAACUUGCCCCGAGAUGAGUUCUCCCUGAGACUUUAAGUCUCCUGAAGGAACGUUAAAGACGAUGACGUUGAUAGGCCGGGUGUGUAAGCGCAGCGAUGCGUUGAGCUAACCGGUACUAAUGAACCGUGAGGCUUAACCUU